rnacentral:lncRNA from 1 species
AGACAAAAUUAUCAGGUCAAAUCAAGAUUUCUGUGGAAGACUAGUUUCAAGCAAUUACCAUUUUCUUAAAAGUAUGUGGAAACAGAAAUGCCAGCCGAAGAUUCACUAUUCAGAGAAGUUUUAGAUGCCUAACAACUUAUUAAAAAAACAAGCUCUCAUGGAUAACAUGAGGACUUAAUUUGAGUAGCUAUUCAACGGAAGUCAAAUGAAGUAGAGUCUUAUUAAUGAGUUAAGAACAAUGAGGGACAAAGGUUGGGGAAGGAGCUGAAACAAGGCUGCAAAAGGCUUCUCCCUAUCUGACAUGAUGAAAAGGAAAAGGGAGUCAGUGACUUGGAAAGAGAAUAUGAAGAAUGAAAGUUGAAGAAUCAGCUCAUUCAGAAGUCAAGCCUGUGAUACAUGGUUAUGAUAUGACAUGAUGGAAGUUUCUGGCCAGAACCUAUUCACACAGAGCCUAUGAUUUGGAGAUAACUCCAAAUUUCUCAUUUCUAGGAUCCAAAGUACCCCCUGCAGAGGGCACAGCCUGGCUGC